rnacentral:snRNA from 13 species
AUGCCUUAAACUAAUGAGUAAGGAAAAUAACGGUCCGGGGUGACGCCCGGGUCCCCGCCCCACAGUGCGGGAGGAAUUUUUGUGCGGGUACAGGUCCCCCUCGCGGUGACCCGUCUACUUUGCGGGAUGCCAGAGAGCGUGAACUGCCCG